GAUGGCUCAGUCGGCAGAGCAUGAGACUCUUAAUCUCAGGGUUAUGGGUUUGAGUCCCAGGCA
rnacentral:tRNA from 1 species